UCAUAUCAGGAGCAGGUCAAUUCCAUAGACCUGACGGGCAGCAUCCGAGCAAACCAAAGUUUUUGGAUUCCGGGGGAAGUAUGGUUGCAAAGCUGGAACUUAAAGGAAUUGACGGAAGGGCACCACCAGGAGUGGAGCCUGUGGCUUAAUUUGACUCAACACGGGAAACCUCACCAGGCCCAGACACUAGAAGGAUUGACAGAUUGAGAGCUCUUUCUUGAUUUGGUGGGUGGUGGUGCAUGGCCGUUCUUAGUUGGUGGAGUGAUUUGUCUGGUUAAUUCCGAUAACGAACGAGACUCUGGCCUACUAAAUAGAAGACGGAUCUAUUGGUCCGAUACCUCUUCUUAGAGGGACAAGGCAGCUCCAAGCUGCGUGAAAUGGGGCAAUAACAGGUCUGUGAUGCCCUUAGAUGUUCUGGGCCGCACACGCGCUACACUGAGGGAGGCAACGAGUUCUCCUGGCUCGAAAGGGCUGGGUAACCUGUUGAAUCUCCCUCGUGCUGGGGAUUGAGGUUUGCAAUUAUCCUUCAUGAACGAGGAAUUCCCAGUAAGUGCAAGUCAUAAGCUUGCGCUGACUACGUCCCUGCCCUUUGUACACACCGCCCGUCGCUACUACCGAUUGAAUGAUUUAGUGAGGACUUCGGACUGGGACCGUUGCGGCUUUCGGGUUGCGUCGGUACUCUGGAAAGAUGUCCA
rnacentral:rRNA from 1 species